UACGUAGGGGGCAAGCGUUGUCCGGAAUUAUUGGGCGUAAAGCGUGCGCAGGCGGUUUGUUAAGUCUGUUGUGAAAUCCCCGAGCUCAACUUGGGAAUUGCAAUGGAUACUGGCAGGCUGGAGUAUGGUAGAGGAAGGUGGAAUUCCCGGUGUAGCGGUGAAAUGCGCAGAUAUCGGGAGGAACACCAGUAGCGAAGGCGGCUCGCUGGGCCAUUCCUGACGCUGAGACGCGAAAGCUAGGGGAGCGAACAGG
rnacentral:rRNA from 1 species